rnacentral:rRNA from 1 species
GACGAACGCUGGCGGCGUGCUUAACACAUGCAAGUCGAACGGAAAGGCCCUGCUUUUGUGGGGUGCUCGAGUGGCGAACGGGUGAGUAACACGUGAGUAACCUGCCCUUGACUUUGGGAUAACUUCAGGAAACUGGGGCUAAUACCGGAUAGGAGCUCCUGCUGCAUGGUGGGGGUUGGAAAGUUUCGGCGGUUGGGGUUGGACUCGCGGCUUAUCAGCUUGUUGGUGGGGUAGUGGCUUACCAAGGCUUUGACGGGUAGCCGGCCUGAGAGGGUGACCGGCCACAUUGGGACUGAGAUACGGCCCAGACGCCUACGGGAGGCAGCAGUGGGGAAUAUUGCACAAUGGGCGGAAGCCUGAUGCAGCAACGCCGCGUGCGGGAUGACGGCCUUCGGGUUGUAACCCGCUUUCGCCUGUGACGAAGCGUGAGUGACGGUAAUGGGUAAAGAAGCACCGGCUAACUACGUG